CAGUGCUCCGGGUCUCCAGCCGCCGGGACCGAGCGCGAGCCGGGCUUGGACGGCAGCAGCCUGGGUGGCUCCUGUUCCCUCGUGGAAUUGCCAAUACCUGCGCCCCACCCGAGGCCCUACACACUCCCGGGGUUGAAAAGCGGGGCUCAGCUCCUGUGACCUGGUGCUGCCAGUGAGGAUGACAGCCCUAGGGCUGGGAGCUCAGAAGAGAAGGGUGAGAAAGGGAGAAACUGAACAUGUUAACAUCAAGGUGUUGUGCCAAAUGCCUACUGUGAAGACCUUAAGUGCAGAAUCUGUGCACUCCUGGGAAGAUAAAGGAAACUAU